GUGGGGAAUAUUGGACAAUGGGCGCAAGCCUGAUCCAGCCAUGCCGCGUGAGUGAUGAAGGCCCUAGUGUUGUAAAGCUCUUUCACCGGUGAAGAUAAUGACGGUAACCGGAGAAGAAGCCCCGGCUAACUUCGUGCCAGCAGCCGCGGUAAUACGAAGGGGGCUAGCGUUGUUCGGAAUUACUGGGCGUAAAGCGCACGUAGGCGGGUAUUUAAGUCAGGGGUGAAAUCCCGGAGCUCAACUCCGGAACUGCCUUUGAUACUGGGUACCUAGAGUAUGGAAGAGGUAAGUGGAAUUCCGAGUGUAGAGGUGAAAUUCGUAGAUAUUCGGAGGAACGCCAGUGGCGAAGGCGGCUUACUGGUCCAUUACUGACGCUGAGGUGCGAAAGCGUGGGGAGCAAACAGGAUUAGAAACCCCGGUAGUCC
rnacentral:rRNA from 1 species